UACGUAGGGAGCAAGCGUUGUCCGGAUUUACUGGGCGUAAAGAGCUCGUAGGCGGUUUGCCAAGUCGGAAGUGAAAUCUCCAGGCUCAACCUGGAGCGUGCUUUCGAUACUGGUAUGACUUGAGUACGGUAGAGGAGUGUGGAAUUCCUAGUGUAGCGGUGAAAUGCGCAGAUAUUAGGAGGAACACCUAUGGCGAAGGCAGCACUCUGGGCCGAAACUGACGCUGAGGAGCGAAAGCGUGGGGAGCGAACAGG
rnacentral:rRNA from 1 species